rnacentral:rRNA from 1 species
AAAUUGAAGAGUUUGAUCAUGGCUCAGAUUGAACGCUGGCGGCAGGCCUAACACAUGCAAGUCGAACGGUAACAGGAAACAGCUUGCUGUUUCGCUGACGAGUGGCGGACGGGUGAGUAAUGUCUGGGAAACUGCCUGAUGGAGGGGGAUAACUACUGGAAACGGUAGCUAAUACCGCAUAACGUCGCAAGACCAAAGAGGGGGACCUUCGGGCCUCUUGCCAUCGGAUGUGCCCAGAUGGGAUUAGCUAGUAGGUGGGGUAACGGCUCACCUAGGCGACGAUCCCUAGCUGGUCUGAGAGGAUGACCAGCCACACUGGAACUGAGACACGGUCCAGACUCCUACGGGAGGCAGCAGUGGGGAAUAUUGCACAAUGGGCGCAAGCCUGAUGCAGCCAUGCCGCGUGUAUGAAGAAGGCCUUCGGGUUGUAAAGUACUUUCAGCGGGGAGGAAGGGAGUAAAGUUAAUACCUUUGCUCAUUGACGUUACCCGCAGAAGAAGCACCGGCUAACUCCGUGCCAGCAGCCGCGGUAAUACGGAGGGUGCAAGCGUUAAUCGGAAUUACUGGGCGUAAAGCGCACGCAGGCGGUUUGUUAAGUCAGAUGUGAAAUCCCCGGGCUCAACCUGGGAACUGCAUCUGAUACUGGCAAGCUUGAGUCUCGUAGAGGGGGGUAGAAUUCCAGGUGUAGCGGUGAAAUGCGUAGAGAUCUGGAGGAAUACCGGUGGCGAAGGCGGCCCCCUGGACGAAGACUGACGCUCAGGUGCGAAAGCGUGGGGAGCAAACAGGAUUAGAUACUACGGUAGUCCACGCCGUAAACGAUGUCGACUUGGAGGUUGUGCCCUUGAGGCGUGGCUUCCGGAGCUAACGCGUUAAGUCGACCGCCCUGGGGAGUACUACCGCAAGGUUAAAACUCAAAUGAAUUGACGGGGCCCGCACAAGCGGUGGAGCAUGUGGUUUAAUUCGAUGCAACGCGAAGAACCUUACCUGGUCUUGACAUCCACAGAACCUUGUAGAGAUACGAGGGUGCCUUCGGGAACUGUGAGACAGGUGCUGCAUGGCUGUCGUCAGCUCGUGUUGUGAAAUGUUGGGUUAAGUCCCGCAACGAGCGCAACCCUUAUCCUUUGUUGCCAGCGGUCCGGCCGGGAACUCAAAGGAGACUGCCAGUGAUAAACUGGAGGAAGGUGGGGAUGACGUCAAGUCAUCAUGGCCCUUACGACCAGGGCUACACACGUGCUACAAUGGCGCAUACAAAGAGAAGCGACCUCGCGAGAGCAAGCGGACCUCAUAAAGUGCGUCGUAGUCCGGAUUGGAGUCUGCAACUCGACUCCAUGAAGUCGGAAUCGCUAGUAAUCGUGGAUCAGAAUGCCACGGUGAAUACGUUCCCGGGCCUUGUACACACCGCCCGUCACACCAUGGGAGUGGGUUGCAAAAGAAGUAGGUAGCUUAACCUUCGGGAGGGCGCUUACCACUUUGUGAUUCAUGACUGGGGUGAAGUCGUAACAAGGUAACCGUAGGGGAACCUGCGGUUGGAUCACCUCCUUACCUUAAAGAAGC